AUGUACGGCCAUAGCCGAGUGACCAGUCUGGAUCCCGUCCGAUCUCCGAUAGACAACCACUUGAGCGCCAGAUUAGUAGUUGGGUCGGUGACGACCAGCGAACACCGGGUGCUGUACGUU
rfam:Beauveria bassiana D1-5 contig00717, whole genome shotgun sequence.